GAGCAAAAUUGUUAAACCGAUGGCAAAUAUUGUUUUGAAGGCUGGCAAUAGCAUGAUUCUGCAAUUCUCCGUGCCAAUGUGAUCCUUCAUAGCCGGCCUCGAACAAGUUGCUACAUU